rnacentral:rRNA from 1 species
UACUCCUCUCCGGGCGGGCCAGCAUCGGUUUGGGCGGCUGGUGAAAGGCCCCGGGAAUGUACCACCCUCCGGGGUGCCUUAUAGCCCGGGGUGCCAUGCAGCCAGCCUGGACCGAGGCCCGCGCUUCGGCGAGGAUGCUGGCGUAAUGGUGGUCAAC